rnacentral:sRNA from 1 species
CAUCUUGUUACUUUUCAAUGUAUAAUGAACCAGUUCAUUUAAUAUUAUUUGGGUAACAAGCCUCCAAAUGAACGAGAUUCGAAUGUCUGUUGUCUUAGGGGGAAAAAAGAUUUAUUGGUUGGUAAAUAUUGAGAAAGAGGAGCUGAUAAAGAGCAGUGUCAGCUGCUGCUUUUUUCCUUACCAGGAGAACAGGAAAGUGUUGUAGUUUGGGGCCCCAUGAAGGCAGAAAAUGGUGAAUGUCUUCCUUUGUUGAUGUGUGCAAAAGUAGAUCUAGCUACAAAUAAUUUCUUAUGUAUCCCCACAUAGAUUUUAAGUCAUGUAGAUUUCCUACCUUGUUGAUACUAAAGCUGUCUUGUUUUCCCAAGAAAAUGUGUUGACAUAAUGAGGCUUAUGUAUUUUGUUCAUUGACAUCAGUAUUCAUUUUUCAGGGAUAUGUAUACAUGGAACUGGAUGAAUUCAA